rnacentral:rRNA from 1 species
CACGUAGGGGGCAAGCGUUGUCCGGAUUUAUUGGGCGUAAAGAGCUCGUAGGCUGUUCGAUAAGUCGAGUGUGAAACCUCCAGGCUCAACCUGGAGACGCCACCCGAUACUGUCAUGACUAGAGUCCGGUAGGGGAGCGUGGAAUUCCUGGUGUAGCGGUGAAAUGCGCAGAUAUCAGGAAGAACACCCGUGGCGAAGGCGGCUCUCUGGGACGGUACUGACGCUGAGACGCGAAAGCGUGGGGAGCGAACAGG